UCUUUUUGAUACACUCUUAUUCUUUCCUGUCUGUUAGGUCCAACAUUCUCUGCGGGUACAGAAAUCCCUUAACAAGUAAAUGUUCUGUCAAAGAGUCUAUUCUGCCACACAGAAAGCUGGACUGCAUGAGCAGCAACAAGGUCACAUUCUACGUCCUCAAUCAAACAGUCAGCCUAUGAUUAGCAGGAUUUGAGACAGU
rnacentral:lncRNA from 1 species